UGCCCCUCCUCUGGUCCCCGCGGCGUCUGGGAUCAUAGUUAACUUGGUAGUUUCCCUCCUUGCUGAAAGCAUCGCUAGGCCCUUGUAACAAGGCACCUGCGUUGAGGCCAGGGUUUGACGCUUGGUAGAAUCGUGAGAACAGACAAGCCUCGGGACUACAGCGUGCGCAUGAGGAAGGGGCAGUGCUCACCUCAGAGCUGGAGAAACUCAGGUCUCCCCAGAGCACCACUCCGGCUGCUCCCAGCGCUGCACUCACACCAAUGGUCCUCACCAGGUCAUCCUGGAGUCAGAGAACUACUGAGCCAAAGCUGGACUGCCCAGAUCCCCCAGAGCCCAACGUCACCAUGAGACAAGAAUUUCCCAGAGCUCCGGCUUGUGAGGCGAGCAUAGGCCAGAACAGGUAAAGGGUGUGUGUGGCCAACCAG